GGAGGGAGCGCCGGACCAGCCGCCGUCCCCAUGGCAACCCCCCAGGGCUUCUCCCCACCCGUCCCUAUGACAACCUCGUCCCCAUGGCAACCACCGGCCGGGGUAACCCUACCCAUCCUCUGCUGCCCCAACCUGCCCCCCCCCCCCGUGUCCCUGGCAUCCUCUGCACGUUUUCACCUCCUGUUUCCAUCCCCCUGGCAUCUUCUGGUUGUCACCUCCUGUCUCCAUGUCCCCAGCAUUUCUCUGGUCAUUGUCCCCUCCUGCUUCUAUGUGUUGUGGCAUUCUCUAGUUGUCACCUGCCUCCAUCCUCCUGGUAUCCCCUGGUUAUUGUCAACUCCUGUCCCCAUCUCUCUGGCACCCUCUGGUUGUUGUCACCUGCCCCCAUCCCCUGGCAUCCUUUGGAUACUGUAAUUUCCUGCCUCCGUAUCCCUGGCAUCCCCUGGUCGUUGUCCCCUUCUGCCUCCACAUCUGUAGCAUCCACUGGUUGUCACCUGCCUCCAUUCCCAGGGCAUCUUCUGGUCGUUGUUACCUCCUCUCCCCAUAUCCCUGUCUUUAUCUAAUAGUUGUCACCACUUGCCACCACCCUCUUGGCAUUGUCAUCUCCUGUCCCCGUCUCUCUGGCGUCCUCUGGUUGUUGUCACCUUCUGCCCACAUCCUCUGGUCAUUUUCACCUCCUGCCUCCAUGCCCCUGGCAUCUUCUGGCCAUUAUUACCUCCAGUCCCUGUGUCCCUAUCAUCCUCUGAUCAUUGUCAUCUCCUGCCCCCGUCCCUCUGGCAUCCUCUUGUUGUUGUCACCUACUUUAAUUCUGAAGAUAUUCUCUGGUCGUUUACACCUUCUGCCCCCAUCCUUCUGGCUUUCUCUGUUCACUCUUACCUUCUGCCCACAUCUCCUUGGCACCCUUCUGCCCUGAUCCUCUCCUGCCUGUAUCUCUCAGGAAUCAUCUGGCCUUUGUCCUAUCUUCAUGGCACCUUCUGGUCCUGGCCACCUCUCCCCCCCCCCCCCCCAUCCUCAUGGCUUCCUCUGUUCAUUGUCAUCACUUUCCCUCAUGCCCUCCCUUGACAACAUCACUGCUGACUCCUAUCCUGCGGCACUUUUUGGAUGGUCAACCUUUUCUUUUCAUCUCUGCCUCAUUCCUCCCAUCCAUCUCUGGAGCUCCCUCUGGGCAGAAUUCCCCCAUACCUUAAGCUGUGUAGCUGAUGGCACUAUCUCACUUAAGCCUCCAGACUUCAGUAGUAGACCUUCAAAUUUCUUUUGUCCAGAUUCGUUGGUGUUUAUUGCAGAAUUUGACUUGUUUUGGUUUGGGGGGGGGGGGGUAGGGGAAAGGAUGUAGUCCCCACUAGUCUUCCUGUCCAGGAAUGAGGCAGAGGUGCUUCAGCAGGUGAUAACACUCCUAGGAGGCCAGUCUGGAGUUGCUUGUUUUCCUGUCAUCCAUUCUCUUGUCCCAUCCCAGUCCUACGGGAGAAACAACAUCCACUGGCCUUAGCUCUCUGGAUUGUGCAGUCUGAUGUUCAAACUGAGAAGAGCACAUGCCCACUCAGGGUCCUUCUGCUGUUUGCUCCAUUUUGUCUCCUGAGCCUUGGUUAUCACACCAGUGCCUGGGCCGUGAGUGGACCUUGGAUAUGAGAAUCAGGGCAGGCUGGGGAUGGGGAGGAGCUUAAAAGGUGACAGGGUAGUGGCUUGUAUUGGCCCAGAGCCUCAGGGCCACCCAGGCAUUGCUUGUUGCUUUAAGGUAGGAGAAGGGAGAUACCAAGCCUCUCUGGUACCCAUAAGGAAACUACUGGCCCCCUGCCUUUCACUGGAGGCUGUGAAGUAUAAAGCCUGAUCACUGGUCUCUGCCCAAGGAUAGCUUGGCCAAAGCCCUGCCUUUCCUUAUGAACUCUUGCUUUGACCCCUAUUUGAGCAGACUUUACCCCCCAGUAAUCUACUGUCUUAUGCUGGGAAAAGACACCCCACAUCUGGGAUCGGCUGAGAGUGAGUCUAAUUGGGCUGCUCACCACUAACCCUGCACUGGCUGUAUGCCAAAACUGAAACUACCCCCAAAGCCCCCUUGCCCUGUCUCAGGGACUCAAACAUGGACCACUGAUGUACCAUUAUUAAUCCAAAUCAGGGGCUGGGGGGGGGGCAGAGGUUUUAGUGGUGUGUGAUUUCUAGGGGGCCCUUUCCCCCUUUCAGCACUCUAUCUCGUUAUGGAACUGAAUCUGCCCCCAGUCUGCACCAGCCUCUGGGAGAGGGGCUACAUCUGUUGAGAGUGGCCGCUCUCCUGUGUACCAAAGGUGCCGCCACACAGGAUGAGCAUGAGGCUCUCCCUUGUAUAGAUGGACAAAGAAAUAGGUACCCGGGGAGAAAGGCAGAUACCCAAGCAUGGGGAAUGACAGGAGCCAGAGGGAGGGAGGAGGUACUCUGUGGUGGUGGUGCCUGUUAUCCUGUGCCAGCUUGGCCAGACAUGCUCCCUCUUUCUCACCAAGCCUUAGUUUUCCCAAUGUCCUCUGGCAUCUCCUAGUUUUGCUUGCUGAUUCAGUUUGGGGAAUAUCCAGUUGGGUUGGGAUAACUGAGACUAGACUGUGUCAUCCUUAAUGAUUAUCCUUAUUGCUUCUGACUCCCUUCUAUCCUAGAUGACAGAAAAUAGGGCGAACAGCUCUAGGACCGCAAUCCAUCAGCCUCCUGGUUCUCUGGCUCUCGCUGACUCUGGCAGCACUGAGUCCUGACUCUCGACUUCUAGGAUCCACUAUAAGUAGAGAAUAGCGUAAUUAAUGCAAGUGAGGAAGAGGGUGGGACUGAGCGAGUUGAGAGAGUUGUCAUAGGCUCAGAGCUUUUAGAGGUGAAAGAAUAGAAAUAGCUGAUGUGCAGUGCCUGGAGGCUUUAAAGGACUUACAUGCAUUCUCAUUUGAGCCUACAAUAAGACAUUAGUGAUAGCUUUAGUUUACAGAUGAAGGAACCUAGGCUAGGAGAAAUUAAGUCAUUUCCUCAGUUGUCAGGAAGCCUCAGAGACAGCUUUCGCACCUGGGAUCUCUUCUGAUUCCAAGCUCAGCCCUCUUUCUGCUGAAACCAAACUUCCUCACACCAACAGAUGAUCAAAGUCCCCAAACUGAGUGGCUUGCCCAAGGUCACAGAUAAAAGGUGGCAGAGUCCAACUCCAAAUCCAGGCCCUCAGACUCCACAUCAGACACGUUUACCGUGCUGCCAGGCUGGGGGCCCACCAGACUCUUGGGUAUUCUGAGUUGUUACCCCCUGUUUCCCCUUGCAGACCACUUCUGUGCCCCCAGCUGACAUCAUCCUCAUCUUGAUGGGAGGGUUCCCAGUCUCUACCUGGCAGCCUGGCCCUCCGUCUGUCCCCUUCCCCAUCCCACACUUCCAGCUGGUAACGACUGACUAGGGGAGGAGCUUGGGCCUUGUCUUCUUGAAGGCUGCUUCCCUGGACCUUCACGUGCUGCUCUUAGUGUUUGCUCAGGCAGGUAUGGUCUAGACCCUUGACGCCUGCCAGCGCCUCAGCCUGUGUAUCGCCUGACCUGCGUUGGCAGUUACCGUUUUCCCAUUCUUUGGCCUUGUCUCCGAAGCCUCUGAAGGUCAGGCUGCCUGUGGAUUAGCUGGUUUUAGGCCCUGGGGCAUCACGAAUUGCCAACCUAGACUAGGAGACACUAAUUGAUAUCCUGGGAGCCCGGCUGUCUGUUAGAGCCUCUUCCUCAGCUCUCAGUUAUGUCCCCAAAUAUAAAGGGGGGGGGGGGGCAAGGACUGCACCUUUUAGCUUCUUUGGUGCUAGCCUCAUCCCCUUAGUGCUGAAAGCGGUUGGCCAACAGAAUGAUCUUGGAUCUCAGAAGUAGUGACUCAGUCAGCCACCAGAAGGCAGCCGUGGGGUCAUGGGAAGUGUACUGCUUGGACUUGGUGUCUCAAGCUCUGGGUUAGAGGUCUGGUUCUGGGCCCUUUCUAGCUGUGACUGAGUAAGUUACUUUAUCUCUCUGGCCCUGGUUUCCUUAUCUGGCAAAUGAAGGCAUUGGACUCUCCAUUAACCGGGCCUGCUUUGGGCUGGGUAUAGUGCUGGUACUGAGAUAUUUGGGGAUCCCAGGUGGGGUGGCUUCCCAAUAGGAGGUAGUUGUGCUAGUGGGUAGCAAUGAGGGAGGCAGAGAGCUAUACUCUAGCUACCUGAGUGACCUGCUCUCUGCAAAGGCUGUUUCAGAAGCUGGAGGAGAGAAACCUUAUUUAUUAUUAUCUCAAAUGAGAUAAUGCUUAUAAAGUUCUUAGCACAGAGUUCCUGGCCCAUCCUAGGUACUAUAUAUAAAUGCUUGUUCCCUUUGCCUCUGCCUUUCCUUUUUUAUUGGGGGGGCCCAGGGUGCCAGGCUCUGAGGCUACAAUGUAGAAAAAUCUGGAUUUGGGAGUGAGAGAAGCUGGGUUUAAGGCCUGGCUCUCUCCUUAUCCGCCUGUGUGAUCUUGGCCCUUACCCACCCUGUAAGGCUUGGGCCAGGUGAACUCUAGUAUCCUGCUCUCAAGCUUCUGACCCUGUAAAUGAGCCCUUGGAUCCUCAUUAAGCUGAACUCACAAGGAAAAGAAGCCAGGAGGGGAGAGAAGACAUCUGUAGCAGCUGUUUUAGAAGGCUGUUGGCCUGGCCAGGCUGCCAUCCUGUGGUCCUAAGAACUCUGGGUUGGUUAGAAAAGGAAGGAAGGGCAAUGGGGGUCAUCCUAGCAGCAUCCCUGACUCUAGAUGUCUCCUGUCAUCUUACAGCAGCACAUUUUGGAGGUGGAAGGAACCUGAGAGGCUAACUUAGAGGCUCAUUUUGUUGAUGAGGAAACAAGCCCAGAGUAAGAAAGGGUCACUGAAUUGGACCUGGAAUCCAGGUCUCUUGGCCCAGGGCCUUCGAUUGGGGGGCUGGGACCCCAAAUCCAUAUUUAUUAUACAAAUCCAUAUUUAUUAGCUCUAUGACUCUUGGCAAGUAGCUUCAAUUUGGACCCAGAGUUUUCUUCAUCUGGAAAGCCUAAAUGAUAAAAUGCAUGCUACCUGCCUUACCAGGUUCCCCUGACCAGGACAAAGCACAGAAAUGUGGGUCCUGGUUAUUUCAAUUUUCACCAUGAUUGUACCCUGCUGACCCAUUCCCACAGCCUUUACAUGGAGGAGGGAAUCUGACAUGGUAUAGUGACUAGAAAGGGCUUCGUAGACCUUAGAGUCCUCCAGAGGUUGAUCUGGGACCUUGGUCCUUGCAUCAGAGGAUGCCAGCGGAACCCCAAGCCCUCAGCUCUUUGAGGUGUUCCUACCCAGUGAGGAAUGAGCUUAAGAGCUGCUGAGCCCUGCAGGAAGGAGGGAGGGAGGACAUUGAAUGAGUAGCAACUUUAUGAGGUGAUGGAGCUAGAGAACAUUACUGAGAUCAACACAUGGGGCAGCCAGAUUAGCAGCCAUCUCUGAGAAUCUCCUUUUGGCGCCCAGGUCCCUCCAUUCAGAGGACUUUGGAGUUGUCACUGCCCCAUCGGUCAGUGGUGAAACCGUGAUGAAACAGAUGUGCAGACAGCUACCUCUCCUGAGGCUCCCCAAAGCCCAAGGAAGAGUGAGAGGAGGCGUGUGAGUUGCAACAGCACAAUAGCUGGUAUUUAUGUAGUGCCAAGUGCUUUCUAAAUGUCAUGUGGCCUCACAUCAGCCCUGCAAGGUAGAUGCUAUUGACCAUCUCCAUUGUACAGAGAAGAAAACUGAGGCCCAGAAUUUAGGUGACUUGCUCAGGGCCCCACAGCUCUUAAAGUAUCUGAGGCUGGAUUUGAAUUCAAGUCUUCCUCACUGCAGCUCCAGUGUUCCCUUCAUACCGUGUAUACUUUGGGGACUUUUAUCUGGUGAUUGGCAGAGCUUAUCUUUCCCUUAAGCCUAGAAUGCUCUCUGGGAGGCACAGGCACAGAGGUGAAUGUGCCAGCGUUUGGUCCUACUUAGCUCAUCACCAGGCUGGAUACAGGGAAAUCACAGAGAGUUGCAAUCUGCCAGUGCAGAGAGUGCCCACAGUGUGGAGAUCAGGAGUCACUUAGGCACAGAGAUGGGCAGGCUGAUUUCUCGACGGUCCACCUCACUCAGCAGAACGUUCAGGCACACCUGGCCCGCUGUCUCCCCAGGGCUCCAGCCUCAUCCCAGAGGAGGAGCCAUGGCAGUGACCACAGGAAAUUUCUAGGAAAGCAAUGGCUGGAGCUCUGGGGUAGGCUGCCUGCCGUGCUCAAUGCCAGGAAGGCACAAGGGGGCAGCAUUGGCCCCAUAAGAUCCUGAGAUGCACCAUCCAGGCUCCCUCUCCUCUUCCUCCUUCAGCUGGUUCCUGGGGCUGAUGAGUUCAGGAAAUGGUCAGUAGCAUUUCUUCUACAGAGGGAUGUGGGUCAGAACUGCUGUUAGGCUAACUCAUUUAAAGUGACUUGCCUCAGCCUCUUUUCUGAACCCUAGAACCCUCACAAAAAGAGCCGGUCAGAACCAGGCCACCCCAGGGAAUUAGAGACAUUCAGAAUCAGUUAGGGAUUCAGAAGGGCAGAGGGGUGUGAACUGUCUUUUUAAAUGAACUAGUUUGAAAAGAUCAGUUUCCCAAAUAAUCCUCUUGUUUGUUGUUAGCAUAUCGAUUGAAGUGGUUGGUAAGCCCAUACUGUAUGCCAGCACUAUUCGAAGCACCAAAGAUGCAAGAGAAGCCCUGGCCUCAGAGAGUUUGGAUUCUACUAGAGGAAGUCAGAUCUCGUCUCCACGUGCCAGGAAGUCUAAGUGUUCUAGGACCUGCUCUAUGACCUCUUCCUUCUCCAGCUUAACUUGGCAGAGGCAGCUCCAGGGAGGCUGAGAGCAAGGUGCUGAUGAAAGAGACAACGAAUGGCAAUAUUGGAGCCAGAGAUCUGGGUUUGAGUUCCACUACCCUACAACUUGUGGGGUGUAAUUCUAGGGAAGUUGCUUCACUUUUCUGAGGUUUUUCCAUCUGUAAAUGUGGAAUGCUGAUAAUUCCACAGCCUACCCUGCUGAUGAGCAAAGUGCUUUGAAAACUGGAGGGCUGUGGUGGUGGGGCCCUCUCUGGUUACCCCCUCAUUCUAAUCUGCCAACAUCUAGAAGCCAUCUCUUAAGCUCAUGCUCUGUGCACAGCAGGAUUCUCGGGGUUGAGCUGGUUAAAAGGAGGAGGAGGACACUGGACCUGCGUGCCCUUGAAUGUUUUCAGCUGGCUUGGAGGAGAUGAGGCUUUAACCAUAACGAACAGCAGGAGCAGCCUGGACCUUUUGUGGGGCCAAAGUUUAGGCUCUAGGCUGCAAAGACUGGACCUCUGGAGCAUGGGAGGAGCAUUGUGAGUUUCAGGUGAUGCUCAGGGAAGGGUCUUUAUGGGGGCAGCAGAAGGAGAGGGGAGUGGGGUGAAAGUAUUGGAUUUAGAGCCAAGAGGGGCUAAGUCAGGGAUCAAUCACCGCAUCCUGCUCCUUCAUUUCUUAUAUAGGGACACUGAGGCCUAGAAGAGGAAAGUGACUUACCCAAGGUCACCAGUGAAGUGAAUGGCCCGGCUGGGGUCCUUCACAGACACUACUUUUUUCUAAUUCUGCUCUUUCUCUUAAGGAUUAUGGCCCCUAUUUUAUAGGUGGAAUGAUUUUUGUUUAUGAUCCCCUGGAGCCUGAACCCAAACUUAGAUGUCUUGACCACAUGUCAGCAUUUCCACUAUAGCAUGAGCAAAAGUACAAAAAGGGAGGAGGUGAAUUCUGAAUGAGGAAUUGGAGGGAAUGAGGUGACUUCUGGCAGAUGGGGUGUGGGAGCCUUGUAGACAUCAGAGAAGGUUGGGGAGAGAAGAGCCAGGGUACAGACACAAGAGUAGUGGGGGAGGGUGGGCAACAGGUCAGCUUGCAGUGAAGGGGAUAAGCUGGGAGAAGAUGGAGAUCGGGAUAUCAUUGCUCUUCAUUAACCAGCAACUCUGCCAGUGUGGCUGAAGCAGCCAACCGGGGACUAACAAGCCUUUCCGUAUUAUGUUGACCAAAAGGAAGUGGAAUGAGCUUGCCAUGUGUCUGAGGCAGCUCAUUUCCAGCUUAAUUCUUCACUGGCAGACUGGAUUUGGAGGUAUCACCUCUGGGUGGCUGAGAAGAGUCCAAAAUGGUCCUACACUGGCAACAGAUUGGAUGUGGAGGGUGAAGGGUCAAGGAUGAGUCUUAAUCUGGGGGACUUGGACAGCUGGUUGCCCCUGACAGCAUUAGGGAAGUUUGGAAGGAGAAGUAUUUAGGUGGAAAAAGAAAAUGGAUUCGAUUCUGAAUGUGUUGGAUGUAAGAUGUCUACAAGACCUCGACUUUGAGAUGUGUGCUAGGCAGCUGGAGGUGCAAAAUUGGGGAUCAGUAGAGGAGUUAGGGCUGGGUGAAUAGAUUUCACAAUCCUCAGCAUAGAGAUGAUCAUUGAAUCCAUGGGAGCUCAUGAGAUCACCAAGUGAAAUAUAUGGAGGAAGAAGAGAAGAGGGCCCAGGUCAGAGUCCUGUGGAACACCCAGGCAUGACCUGGAUGAAGUGUCAGCAAAGAUUGAGAAGGAGCAGUCAGAGGGGAGGAGAUCCAAGAGACAGUGGGAUCGCAUAUAACCUAGAAAGAGAGCAUCAGGGAAAAGAUGGUGAUCAACAGGGGCAAAGGCUAGAGAGAAGUCAAGAAAAAAGCCAUUCGAUUGGCAGGUAAGACACAAUUAGUUACUUUGGAGAGAGACAGAAACAGACAAGGUUUUGGUGGAAUGAUAGUCAGAGACCAGACUGGAGAGCUAAAAGCAAUCUGCAUUCUAUUAAAGGCUUAAAACAUAUUCCUAGGAAUAUAGGAUAUGUUCUCCCCGCCCAGUUCCCCAACAGUGAAUGGGGUAGAGGUACCAACAGCAGGAGAAAUCAGGAAAGACUGUUUAAAAUAGACCUUGGAAAGGGGCGUUAGAGUAGGUUUGAGUAAUACUGAUAUAUUGACUAUACACACACCUAUCUGAAGGCUGUCAGAGACUAGCAAGCGAGAAACAAAGAGAUUUAUAGUAAACUUAAGAGAGGAAAAGAAAGGUACUUUGAGCUCUGGCUUUUGAAAUUGGAGGGCAAGGGGAUGGUGGGAAGUUGGGCCAAAGAGGCUGUCUCCAUCCUGACAUCCACGACCAAGAAUCGAAUUUGAAGCAAUUUCAGUUGAAAUUGAAGCAACAUUGUGGAGGGAGAUAAAUUCCCCUGACAGAGGAAUAACGCAAGUGCCUGUAGGCCAAAGUGCUUUCUUCACAUCAACCCCAGAAGGUUGGUGGGCCAAGAAUACUUCAUCCCUUUUUAUGCAUGGGGAAACUGAGCCUCAGAGGUGAAGUGACUUGCUCCAGAUCAUCUAGCUCAUUGGAUCUUCCAACUCAGGAUCAGAGUUCUUUCCAUGCCCCGAGGUGGCUCCUUGGCCAUGUUUGCCAUCUUGUUGUGGAAGGUGGGGGGAGAGGGAGGCAGGGUGAGAUGGGAAAAGGUUGGGGUGUGUCUGCCUUGGGCCUUGUACUCAUUCACCCCUUGGUGGAUAGCUCUCUCCUAGUCACAUCCUCGGGGUCAUAACCCUUCAACCAGCAACUCCACAGCUCGGAUUGAGGCUCUCUGGGUUGGUGUCUUAACUAGCCCCUUCUCUGAACUAGAGAGAAGGAAUAUUUCUUACCAAAGCUUUAUGUCUUUUCCCCACCACCCCUUGCCCUGCUCAUCUCCUAGCCUAGCAUAACAUUCAACACACAGCAGGCUUAAUAAUUGUUUCCUGUCCUGUAUAUUUUAGACCAGAACCUGGGCAGAUCUUCAGCAAAACCAAGGUCAGUGGGAUGUGUAAGAAGUGCACAAGCAAUGAGAGCUGCCAUUUACAGAGCUCUUUAAGAUUUGCCCAGGGCUUUAUAUACAUUGUCUCAUUUUCUCAGUUGAGCUCACCCUAGGCCUGAGAAGUAAGUUGUUUCCUCCAGGUGGUAUGAUUAUUUCCUUUUUUUUAAAUCAAUGAGGAGAAUAAGGUUCAGAAGUUUGAUGACAUGCCCAUGGUCACAGAAUUAAUAAAUGUUAGAGGUUCAGUUUCCAUUCCUGUUUCUCAACUCUUUUUUAUGUCACAUCGUCUUUCCUAAAACUCUGCCCUCGAAGAGUUACCAAAUGAGAGGAGGGAUAUGGAGAGAUAACAAAAUUGUGUCCAAUUGCAAACAAUACAUGCUCCUGGGAUUUAGAAGAGGGACAGAUCUCAUGGACUGAACUCGUUGGGCUAGUUGGGAAAGACAUGAAGGACAAGUGAGUUCAGAUCUUUUGGGGAGAAAGUGGAGGGCAGAAAAAAAGAAAAGGGGGGCAGCUGGGUAGCUCAGUGGAUUGAGAGCCAGUCCUAGAGAUGGGAGGUCCUAGGUUCCAAUCUUACCUCAGACACUUCCCAGCUGUGUGACCCUGGGCAAGUCACUUGACCCCCAUUGCCUAGCCCUUACCACUCUUCUGCCUUGGAGCCAAUACACAGUAUUGAUUCCAAGAUGGAAGGUAAGGGUUUAAAAAAAAGAAAGAAAGAAGAAAAGGAAGGUGGGUCAAAUCAUGGAGGCCUUGAGUACCAUCCUAAGCCAUUUGGACAUUUUCAUGUUAGUCUCCGAGUACUAUAGAGCCAGGGGAGUAAUACAUGAAAUAGCUCCCAUGGGAUGGAUGAUCAGCUCUCUGAUAUACAGCCAGCACGUCCUCUCUUCACAUCAACUGUCUUCAGGAAAUCUCAAACCAGACGUCCCACAGGCACUCAGCAUGUCCAAAGUAGAAAUCUUUGAGUUUGCCCUCCUCCCCUCUUCCCAGCUUUCCUGGGAUGGUGAGGGCAUCACUCAGGCUAGAAACUUUGGGGUCAUUGUCGGCUCCUCCCUUACACUCCCCAUAUCUUUAUGCCAUCUCUCACAUACAUUACUUUUUUUUUCUAAGCCCUUACCUAUUGUCUUAGAAUCAAUACUAUGUAUUAGUUCCAAGACAGAAGAGUGGUCAGGGCUAGGCAAUGGGGGUGACUUGCCCAGGGUCAGUGGCUGAGGCCAAAUUUGAACCCAGGACCUCCCAUCUCUAGGCCUGGCUCUCAAUCCACUGAGCUACCCAGCUGCCCUGAUCAUAUACAUUACCUUUAUUCAUAUAGCUACCAAUCUCAGCACUUCUUGCUAAUUAAUAAUAGCUAGCAUUGAUAAUAGCAUUUUACAAAAUUUCUUACCUUCUGUCAAGACUUCCAUCUCUAGGCCUGGCUCUAUCCACUGAGCCAUCUAGCUGCCCUUGACAGCAUUUUAAAGUUUGCAACAUGCUUUACAAAUAUGGUCUCAUUUUAUCCCCACAACAAUCCUGGGAAGUAGGGGCUGUUAUUUUUCCAGAGGGAUAUACUGAGGGAGAGAGUGGUUAAGUGACUUGCCCAGAGUCACACAACUACUAAGUGUCUAAGGCUGGAUUUAGAUAUUCCUGACUCAAGGUACAAAAUUCUCAGCUCAUUCUUUUAGCUACUUAAAUGAUUUUUCUAGUUCUCAUCUGACUGUAUCAGCCCCUUACCCUGUAAACUCAGUGGCACCCUGAGACCUUUUGGAUCCAAUAUGAACCUCCCUGUUUGGCAUUUCAAGCCCCUCCUAGCCUGACUCCUUCCUCCCUUUUCCAUCUUCUGCCUCACUUCUCUGCACGAAGCUGGUUCAGCUCCACCGGCCUCCUGGCUGUUUGUGUCUCGUGGCGCCUCAUCUCCAGUUCCUGGCUUCCUUCAGGUCUGCUUCAAUCCCACUUUCUAAAGGAGGCCUUUCCCAGCCCCCUCAACUGCUAAUGCCUUCCCUCUGAAAUUGCCUUCCCCUGAGAUUGUCUAAUAUUCUGUAUAUCCUCCCAUUAGAAUGGGACUCACAGGAAACCCUUGUUGGCUGCCCCAGGGCUCCGCUGCCUGCCACAGGUUCCUUGGUGUCUUUGGCUUGGUGUCCGUCUUUGUGGCAGAAGCAGCUAGGUUGAGUGCAAGCUUUACCAUUUACUUACUAUGUGGCCUUCAGCAAAUCAUUUAGCCUCUGAAUGUCAGUCCCUUCAUCUGUACGAUGGGUACAGAAGGAACUCACAUUCUUUACCUCAAAAGAGCUGUUGUGAGAAGAGCACUUUGUUAACUGACUUUCCAGAAGUAAGAACUGCUGGCAUCACUUGGGGGAAGGGGUGAGUGGCAGGAGCAGGCAGGGCCCUAGGGAGCAUUUGUUGAGAAUGGCAUCCUGGUAGGGAGCUGAGGAAGCAGCUUCUGAAUUAGGCUCAAGUCCCUCCUCCGAUACCUCCUAGCCAUGGGACCCGGAGCAGGGCCUCCGGCCUCUCCGUGAGGGACUGGCUUGCCGAGAAGGCGCCCAUCUGUGUGGGUAGAGGAGUCCUUUAUCGUGAGUGGAUGCCGGCAUGAACACAAAGCCCUGGAGAGAAUCUGCUCUCUGUAGCUGGGAGCUCUCUUGAAGUGGGCCCAGCUUUGAGGGGUCGCCUCCUCCUUGUUCUUCUCCUGCAUGGAGGGCGAGAGAGCAGAUUCUCCUCUGGGAGAGCCCCAUUAGCUCAGUGCAGGAGGGCCGAGGGCAGAGAAAUGGAUUGCCAGUGCCUCCCCCAAACUCCCUGGGCCCCUCUUCCAUGGAAGUCUUGGAUCUGGGUCCAGCACAAGAGUUGGGGGGCAGCUGAGGCGGGCCGGGGAGCCCGAGAACACGAGUGACCUGAAGACACUUUUCUUUGGAAGAACUGAAUGAGUGAGGAGGAAGGGGAGGUUUGUGUGUGUCUGUCGAUCUGCCCCUUUGGCUGGGUGAGCAGGGAGGAGAGGCGUGUGUGUGUGUGUGUGUGUGUGCGCGCGCACGUGUGUGUGUAUGUGUGCGCCCGUGUGUGUGUGUGUGUGCCUGUGUGUGCCCGUGUGUGCCUGUGUGUGUGCCCGUGUGUGUGUGUGCCCGUGUGUGUGUGUGUGCGUGUGUGUGUGCCCGUGUGUGCCUGUGUGUGUGUGUGCCCGUGCCCGUGUGUGCCUGUGUGUGUGU